GUUAGAAAAUCAGCCGGAAUUGACAAUAAUUUGAUAGUUCAUGCUUGAGAGAGCUCCCAAGUGGGGAUCUGAGGCCGGAGAUUGACUCUCGUGACGAUCCCGGGGAGAUGGGCGGUGGGCAGGCUCGCCUGACCUUGAAACCGUCCCCCGAGCCCAGACGCCCAUAAUCAAUGCAGACUCUCUGCCCCCAGGGGCCCCCACGAGCAAAGGGGAAAAUGAAGAUUCACAGAAAAGCCGCACAAGUGGAUUUUUCAAUCGGCUUCUCAAAUGCCUGCUAAGUGGCGGGCCCGAGCCGCAUGCAUACUGCAUGAGCGCAGGACAAGGACAAUCACCGGGGACAGAGCGCCGCGCCUCCUCCCUGGCCUGCUGCAAGACUGCUGGUGGGCGAUGUGAGCUGCAGCCCCCUUAACCCCCGGCACCUGCCGUCUGGACCAAACACAGAGACUGCAGCCCACCCCCAGCAUCCAGCUCGCACUCUCCCUGAGUCCAGGGCCCCCCAUGUCCGGCACCCCCAAGUCCAGUGGCAGGACACCGGCCGCUUGGGACAGUGACCAUUAGGAGGUGCUCCCUGCGUGGAGUGAUUAGGCCCCUCCUCGCCAUGUCCUGGGGCUCCGGCCCCUGCAGGAACGCAUCUGCCUCACCGCUCUGUUUUCUGUGAGUCUGGGCCCAAGUAGUUUCCUUGACUUCAGUCCCUCUGUCCUCUAGUGUCCGGUGUCCUGGGGCCUCUCGGGGACCCACCUCCUUUCCUCUCCCUCCUCCAUCUGGCGCCGCCUUCUUCGGAAUGCAAGCUUUGUGCCCUGUGAGUGUGAGUCUGCCUGCACACGGCUGAGUGCCUGUAGUGUGAAUGUCUGGGAGUGCUCACAUGUGUGUGUGUGACAUGUGUGUGCACGCACACACAUGGACAGGCUGGGAUCCAGGUGACCAAGCUUCUCUAACCUGCCACACGCUGAGCCCCAUUUGCCUCGGGCAGUUUGGGGGUCUGUCCUGCCUGCCUCCACACCGCACCCCAGCAGGACAUGUCAUCAGCAUCAGAAAUGGGGUGUCAUCAGCUGGGCGCUUUAGAGCCUCAGCAUCUCAGGUGAGACGCAGGUGGCGGGCGGCACCUGCCCAUCCUCUCGGCCCUGGGAGCUCCAGGCAGACGUGCCACCUGUGAAGAGCGAGCCCGGCUGGCGGGGAAGCCCUGCUAAGACUCGGCAGGUGCCCUGGGACCAUGCAUUCUGGCUGUAGGAACACGGGAUCAGGGGGCCCAGCUGCAGCUCAGCCAGCACCCCUGAGGCCUGGCCCCAGUGUGACUUCAGGGGGAUGACCCGUCAUGUUGUGACUCGUCUGUGGGAAGCCUGGCUCUGACAGCAGAGAGAGCUGCCCAUGGAGGGACACAGGGCAGCUGCUGGGCAGGGCCAGGCUGAGGACCGCCCCAGGAGAUGGUGCAGCCGCCCCCUGACCUGGGUCUAGAGGGCCCUGCUGCUCAGUCCCCUGAAGAGUCAGUUCAGGCCAGGUUGGAGCGCCUGCGGUGAGGCUCCGGCUGAAUCACGAAGUCACUCCGGUGACCCUUCCUGGCCCCUGCUUCCUGCUGGAGUCCGGCUGCUCCCCACCCAGGCAGGCCCCAGGCUGGCAGCUGCAGGAAGACGGCCGUUAUCCCGGUCCACCCCCCUGCCCCUCAGGUUUGGGGAUGCAGAGUUGGACACAAUGGAGCAGACGAGCUAACUGAGCCCCCCACCCCUCCGGUCUGCGCUCACCCGGGCGUCCACGCCGGUCCAUCCUUGGUCCACCCCAGGGCACCCUCAGCCCCACCACGCUGUGGGUGAGACAUGGGGGUGGGACGUCUCCACCCUCCCGGCUGCCACCUGCAAACGUCUCUGGACACCUCCUCACCGCUCUGUAAAUCCAGACUAACAGCCCGGACAUGGGAAUGAGGCGGGGUGAAGUUAGACCAUCAAUCUGGCCUCAAGGAACACAGAUGUUGCUUGUUCUGAAAAGAGGCUGGUCCACCCGGAAUGUUCUAUUCACAGAGGCCAGCUGACACCCCCCAGGGCUCCACUCAACAGAGCCAGGGUACCUCCUGUGGGCAGGUGGGGAGCUUUGGGACCUGGAAGGGGGACUGUUUCUGCUGUUACAGGGAGCAAAACGCUGAGGGUCACACGGUCUCAAGGGAGGGGCUGUGGACAGCAGUCAGGAGGCCCACGACACUCCAGACAAGAACGACGGGGCUCCGGGUGGCGUGCAGUGACAGAAAGAGUGAGAAACAGCCCGGACCUUGAUGUAUGUUGAAGGCAGAGUUGACCUGAAUUUUCCGAUAGAUUAGAUGGGCGGACGACAGCUGAGAGAAGGUCAAGGUAGGCUCUGAAGAUUUUUAACUAAGGUCAAGCAGCAGCUGGGCUGGCAGGUCUGACAUGGUGACAGUUCCGGCCCAGCGGAGGGUCAGGAGCACGAGCGGAGAGAAGCUCAGAAGAGACAAGGAAGCCUCACGCGACACAUGCCGUGUCCAGUGACCCGGCCUGCAAGCCAUUGCAUCGUCCUCACCCUGAGGAAGGAAGCUACAGACACGGGGCCCUUCUAAGUUCACAAAAGCCUUGCUUACCGGUUAUCUUCGCUUCUGAGACUUAAGCCAUAUUAGCACCACCUGGGGCUUCCCGAUGGCUCAGCAGUAAAGAAGCUCACUGCCAAAGCAGGAGGCGAAUGAGACGUGGGUUUGAUCCCUGGGUCGGGAAGAUCCCCUGGAGGAGGAAAUGACAACACACUCCAGUAUUCCUGCCCAGGAGAUCCCAUGGACAGAGGAGCCUGGUGGGCUACAGUCCGUGGGUCGCACAGAGUCACACGUGCCUGAGCAGCUGAGCGCACACACAACACCAUUUUACAGACGAGGAAGCUGAUCCCAGAGGGGUUAUGACGCCCUCAAAUGCUCGUGGCCAGUGUUAUCAAGGUGAGAUGGGACCCAAGUGUUCUCACUUCCAUCUUGAUGAGUUCAGGGAAGUGGCUGAGUGAGGGAAGUCUGGAUUGCUCUUCCAGCUUGAUCCCAAAAGACCUUCAGCUUUGCUUGUGACCUCAACAAGCAUAGAGAGGCAUUUGGGUGGCCUUCAGCUUUUGGCAAAUAUAAAUAGAGCUUCUGUGACAGGUUUGGGUGUGAAGUCUUUAUUUCUCUGGGAUAAAUGUCCAGGGAUGCAAUCUUGAGGUCCUAGGAUAAUUGUACAUUCAGUUCUUUAAUGAAGCUGAGUUUCCAAGAUGGUGGAGUACAAAGACGCUGAAUUCACCUCCUCUCAUGGGCACACACAAAUACACUAUUUACAGAACAACUGUUGAUGAAAAAGACUGGAACCUACCAGGACUGAUCUUCUAUAACUAAAGGAAAGAAACAGAGAAUGCCAUGCUGCUUCCCAGAGUGGCUGCACCAUCCUAAAUUAACACCAGCCACGUGCCCGGGAUUCUCGGCGUCCACACAGCACGUUGCAAGUCUUCGGCCAUUCUGACCGAUCCGCCUCAGAUCCUCAGCACACUGUCCGUGGGGUCCUGGCCGUCCGUGCGUGCAUCUGCCGUCCCCGCUGAUGCCGAGCUGCCACCUGGUGAGGACGCCCUCCUCCUCUCCUCCUUUCCUGCCGCAGCUGCUUCCUCACGAAGCAGAACGGAAGCACCAUCCAGCCUCGCUGUGGUGGAUUCCUCUGAGAGUGGUGGGAAGAAAUCUUUCAAGGGCCAACACUUUACUCACCCACGUCCCCCAGGUGACAAAGAUGGCAGACUUCAGUCUCCUCCCCUCCAUCUCCGUGUCCAUCUUCAUCCCCAAGUUCUGUCUCCGUCUCUUUCUUUCUCUCUUUCAGACGACCCAUCUUAGAAUCAGAAUGCAUACAGAGAAAGUUUGCCUUGAAAGUCUGACUUGAAGUCAGAUUCUUCUGACAUAAGCUUAGUUUGAUUUGCCAGGUAAGUUGGAGAAUGAUGACUGCCCUCGCCAAUUAUGAUGUUUUCCUUAAACCCCACAAAUGACAGACGCAGCUCUCAGAAAGCACACGCAGAGUACACACAGGCACGCCUCUUUAUACUGGGCUUUGCUUUCUUGUGCUUCACAGAUAUUGCUUUUUUAAUAAGUUGAAGGCCUGUGGCCACCCUGCACUGUGAGACGACGCUUAAAUUUUUCAGCAACAAAGUAUUUUUAAUUAAGGAAUAUACAGGUUUUUUUUAGCCUUAAUGCUAUUACAAAAUUCCUAAUAGGCUACAGUAUAGUGUAAAUGUAACUUUUAUAUACACUGGGAAGCAAAAGAAUUCAUGUGACUCCCUUCAUUUUAAUAUUCACUUAAUUGCAACAGUCUGGAACCAAAACCAUAGUGUCUCUGAGGUGGCCUGUGAACAAAAUCCAGCAUCAUAGUUUACAUUCUACGUCAUUAGACAUACAGUAACAAAUCUGGAUUUCGACUUGAAAACUUUGGAGACAUUUCAUAGAUUUUUGAAGUCAUUCCGGAGGAAGAAGAACUAAAAAUUUAAAGACCACUAAUCUAAAAGUACAGUCACACGGACACACAAACAGGAUUGCUUCUGCCAAAAAUACCAGUCCAUCCUAAAGGAAAUCAACCCUGAAUAUUCACUGGAAGGGCUGAUGCUGAAGCUGAAGCCCCAGUACGUUGGC